GCCUGGGUGGCUCAGUGGUUGAGCAUCUGCCUUUGACUCAGGUCAUGAUCCCGGGGUUCUGGGAUCGAGUCCCACAUCAGGCU
rnacentral:tRNA from 1 species